GCGGAUGGCCGGAUAACCGCCGCCGAAAGGGUAAGCCUUCGGGGGAGGAAAGUCCGGACUCCAUUGAGCAACGGUGCCGGGUAACGCCCGGCGGGGGCAACCCCAGGGACAGCGCCACAGAGAACAGACUGCCUUCCAUGCGGAGGUGAUGGUGAAACGGUGGGGUAAGAGCCCACCGCGGGACCGGCAACGGGACCGGCACGGCAAGCCCCACCGGGAGCAAUGCCAAAUAGGGAUCCGGCAGCGGUCCGGGGGGCGCGCCCUCCGUCCGCAAGGUCGCUCAAGCCUUCGGGAUCCGGGUUGGCAGCUUGAGCCCUCUGGCGACAGGGGGCCUGGAGGAAUGGUUAUCCACGGGGGCUCCGGCCCCCCGGACAGAAUCCGGCUUACAGGCCGUCCGCGCGC
rnacentral:RNase_P_RNA from 1 species